UACGGGGGGGGCAAGCGUUGUUCGGAAUUACUGGGCGUAAAGGGCGCGUAGGCGGCCCUCUAAGUCAGACGUGAAAUCCCUCGGCUCAACCGGGGAACUGCGUCUGAUACUGGAGGGCUUGAAUCCGGGAGAGGGAUGUGGAAUUCCAGGUGUAGCGGUGAAAUGCGUAGAUAUCGGGAGGAACACCUGUGGCGAAAGCGGCUCACUGGACCACAACUGACGCUGAGGCGCGAAAGCUAGGGGAGCAAACAGG
rnacentral:rRNA from 1 species